GGUUCUUUGACCGAGAGGCCGAUGGUAGCAGGCUGUUAACCUGCCUGGAGCAAUCCACAACGAAGGUUCGAAUCCUUCAGGAACCG
rnacentral:tRNA from 1 species